rnacentral:rRNA from 1 species
AGAGUUUGAUCAUGGCUCAGAGCGAACGCUGGCGGCAGGCUUAACACAUGCAAGUCGAGCGGCCGUAGCAAUACGGCAGCGGCAGACGGGAGAGUAACACGUGGGAACGUGCCUAUCAGUUCGGAACAACCCAGGGAAACUUGGGCUAAUACCGGAUACGCCCUUACGGGGAAAGAUUUAUCGCUGAUAGAGCGGCCCGCGUCUGAUUAGCUUGUUGGUGAGGUAACGGCUCACCAAGGCGACGAUCAGUAGCUGGUCUGAGAGGAUGAUCAGCCUCACUGGGACUGAGACACGGCCCAGACUCCUACGGGAGGCAGCAGUGGGGAAUAUUGGACAAUGGGCGCAAGCCUGAUCCAGCCAUGCCGCGUGGAGGAUGAAGGUCUUCGGAUUGUAAACUCCUGUUGACCGGGAAGAACAGGUUUCAACCGAAUAGGUUGGAGCAUUGACGGUACCGGUUGAGGAAGCCACGGCUAACUCUGUGCCAGCAGCCGCGGUAAUAC